ensembl:snRNA U6 U6 spliceosomal RNA
GUUCUCACUUCAGCAGCACAUAUACUAAAACACAAACAGUACAGAAAAUACUAUCAUGGCCUCUGUAUAAGGAUGACAUACAAAUGCAUGAAGUGUUCCAGAUCUUU